rnacentral:rRNA from 1 species
CGUGCAGGCGGUCGGGUAAGUCAGAUGUGAAAGCCUUUCGCUUAACGAGAGAAGUGCAUUUGAAACUGCUCGGCUAGAGUACGGGAGAGGAGAGUGGAAUUCCCGGUGUAGAGGUGAAAUUCGUAGAUAUCGGGAGGAACACCAGUGGCGAAGGCGGCUCUCUGGUCCGAUACUGACGCUGAGACGCGAAAGCGUGGGGAGCAAACAGGAUUAGAUACCCUGGUAGUCCACGCCGUAAACGAUGGGCACUAGGUGUAGGAGGUAUUGACCCCUUCUGUGCCGAAGCUAACGCAUUAAGUGCCCCGCCUGGGGAGUACGGCCGCAAGGCUAA